UACGUAGGGUGCGAGCGUUAAUCGGAAUUACUGGGCGUAAAGCGCUCGCAGGUGGUCCGCUGCGUCGUGCGUGAAAGACCCCGGCUCAACUGGGGGAUGUCGUGCGAUACGGGCGGACUGGAGGCCAGUAGGGGGAUGCGGAAUUCCGGGUGUAGUGGUGGAAUGCGUAGAGAUCCGGAGGAACACCAGCGGCGAAGGCGGCAUCCUGGACUGGUCCUGACACUCAGGAGCGAAAGCGUGGGGAGCGAUCCGG
rnacentral:rRNA from 1 species